rnacentral:rRNA from 1 species
GGUUCUCUCCGAAAUAGCUUUAGGGCUAGCGUCGAUGUUAAGUCUCUUGGAGGUAGAGCACUGUUUGGGUGAGGGGUCCAUUUCCCGGAUUACCAAUCUCAGAUAAACUCCGAAUGCCAACGAGAUAUAAUCGGCAGUCAGACUGCGAGUGCUAAGAUCCGUAGUCGAAAGGGAAACAGCCCAGACCACCAGCUAAGGUCCCAAAAUAUAUGUUAAGUGGAAAAGGAUGUGGGGUUGCACAGACAACUAGGAUGUUAGCUUAGAAGCAGCUAUUCAUUCAAAGAGUGCGUAAUAGCUCACUAGUCGAGUGACCCUGCGCCGAAAAUGUACCGGGGCUAAAACAUAUUACCGAAGCUGUGGAUGACACAAAAGUGUCAUGGUAGGAGAGCGUUCUAUGUGUGAAGAAGGUGUACCGUGAGGAGCGCUGGAACGCAUAGAAGUGAGAAUGCCGGUAUGAGUAGCGCAAGACAGGUGAGAAUCCUGUCCACCGUAAGACUAAGGUUUCCAGGGGAAAGCUCGUCCGCCCUGGGUUAGUCGGGAYCUAAGGAGAGACCGAAAGGUGUAUCCGAUGGACAACAGGUUGAUAUUCCUGUACUAGAGUAUAUAGUGAUGGAGGGACGCAGUAGGCUAACUAAACCAGACGAUUGGAAGUGUCUGGUCAAACAGUGAGGUGUGAUAUGAGUCAAAUGCUUAUAUCUUUAACAUUGAGCUGUGACGAGGAGCGAAGUUUAGUAGCGAAGUUAGUGAUGUCACACUGCCAAGAAAAGCUUCUAGCGAUACAUAUACUCUACCCGUACCGCAAACCGACACAGGUAGUCGAGGCGAGUAGCCUCAGGUGAGCGAGAGAACUCUCGUUAAGGAACUCGGCAAAAUGGCCCCGUAACUUCGGGAGAAGGGGCGCUGAUUUUAGAUCAGCCGCAGUGAAUAGGCCCAAGCAACUGUUUAUCAAAAACACAGCUCUCUGCUAAAUCGUAAGAUGAUGUAUAGGGGGUGACGCCUGCCCGGUGCUGGAAGGUUAAGAGGAGUGCUUAGCGUAAGCGAAGGUAUGAAUUGAAGCCCCAGUAAACGGCGGCCGUAACUAUAACGGUCCUAAGGUAGCGAAAUUCCUUGUCGGGUAAGUUCCGACCCGCACGAAAGGCGUAAUGAUUUGGGCACUGUCUCAACGAGAGACUCGGUGAAAUUUUAGUACCUGUGAAGAUGCAGGUUACCCGCGACAGGACGGAAAGACCCCAUGGAGCUUUACUGCAGUUUGAUAUUGAGUAUCUGUACCACAUGUACAGGAUAGGUAGGAGCCUAUGAUAACGGGACGCCAGUUUCGUUUGAGGCGUUGUUGGGAUACUACCCCUUGUGUAUGGCUACUCUAACCCAGA